UUUGUUGAUGCAUUGUUUCCUUAGUAACACUUGUUGUGUUAGUGGACCAAAGGUGAUGGUGGCUUUGCGAACAAGGUGUUCCCGGUUCCCCAUUAACGCCGCUGUCUAUAACACUGGCCAAGGUAUACUCAAUAGUGACAAAACAAAACUGCGAGGCCUGGGGAAGGGGAAUAGUGGUAAUGGAAGUUACAGUUAUAGGUUGUUGGUAUUUUGUUUACUUGGGAUAUCAUAUCCUCCUCAAGUAAUGUUAGGGUACUUGAUAUACCAGUGGUCACUUGAAGAGGAUUUAAAUCGCUGGGAAGCAGUUAUUAGGCUGCAGGUAAAAUAUGUCUUGGUGAUUUUAGACAGUAUAUGGACCAUACAUCUGGCAAGGAGUAAAAUCUUAUGUAGCCAUUAACCCAUUCAAUAGAUUUGCUUUGGGUUUUGGGUAAUGUAACUUGUAAAUGAAUUGCAAUUUGGAAGCUUUUGCAGUUUUCUGCUUAAAACAAUCAGCCAUUGGUGCUUCUGAAGAUUAGUUCUAGUAUAUUUAGUUGGAUAGAUAAAUUCAACAUUUGUUAAUACAAGGCUUUGUUUCUGGUGAGUUCUGGCCGUAAUCUAGCAUGCGGGUGGUUCUUGCCUAUAUUAUUUCUUCAUCAUUCUUACAAGGAUAUAUUUUGUUGACAAUUAGGUCCUCCAAUGUUAUGUUUUUCAGGUAUAUUUUAUCAACCCUAUGUGGUCAGUUAAGUCAGUGAUGUGGUUGUUAGUGAUAAGUAGAUUAUGAUUUAUCACUAGUUCACUACAGCAUUGUCAAAAUGUGGUUGUUAGUGACACAAGUUCUCUAUGCCAGUUAAGUUUUAGCUUCUUUUUUUCUUUUCUUUUUCCUACAUGUUAAUUUUCUGCUAAUCAUUAUUCCAAAAUCACAAGUUCACAACUGCAUACAGAAUUAUCUACACAUUCUAUGGUCAGCAUCCAUACCCACACUUGUAAUAUUU